ACAGAGGGUGCAAGCGUUAAUCGGAAUUACUGGGCGUAAAGCGCGCGUAGGUGGUUCGUUAAGUUGAAUGUGAAAUCCCCGGGCUCAACCUGGGAACUGCAUCCAAAACUGGCGAGCUAGAGUAUGGUAGAGGGUGGUGGAAUUUCCUGUGUAGCGGUGAAAUGCGUAGAUAUAGGAGGGAACACCAGUGGCGAAGGCGACCACCUGGACUGAUACUGACACUGAGGUGCGAAAGCGUGGGGAGCAAACAGG
rnacentral:rRNA from 1 species